rnacentral:rRNA from 1 species
GGGGUAAUGGCCUACCAAGCCGACGAUCCAUAGCUGGUUUGAGAGGAUGAUCAGCCACACUGGGACUGAGACACGGCCCAGACUCCUACGGGAGGCAGCAGUGGGGAAUCUUAGACAAUGGGGGCAACCCUGAUCUAGCCAUGCCGCGUGAGUGAUGAAGGCCUUAGGGUUGUAAAGCUCUUUCAGCUGGGAAAUAAUGACGGACCAGCAGAAG